GUGUUUUGGGGAGCAGUGCUAAGAAAGACUCCCCACCCUUAGUGAGAAGAGAAUAAUACUGACAGGGGCUUGUCAUCUUGAGUAGGCUGCAAACUUUGAAGAGGAAAUAGCAUAGAUUUGCCACGGAUAAUGGAAGGAACAACUGACUUUCCUCUAGAGGAUUUGAACUGGAGGAGGCUUGAAGUUGAACAAUGGAACUCUCAGUACCAACUUCCCUUUACAGUCUGAUCUCAGAAAUCUGACAGCCAGUUGUAUUCCCCCAGACCCUCUACCUUCACCUGUAAGUCUAAGUGGCAGGAAUUUCGCAACUCCAAAAAGUGAUGCCGAAAAAUAUUGGAGCAAUGUCUUCAAAAUUGUAAGAGUAUACACCCAACUAAACUGUUGACAAGUAGCAUAAAGGGUAGAAUAAAGAUUUUUCCCUGGCCAGGUGUGGUAGCUCACACCUGUGAUCCCAGAACUUUGGGAGACCAAGGCUGGAAGAUUGCUUGAGCCGAGGAGUUUGGGACCAGCCUGGGCAACAUAGGAAGAUUCUGUCUCCACAAAAUUUUAAAAAAUUAGCUGAGCGUGGUGGCAUGCGCCUGUGGUCCCAGCUACUCAUAGGGUGAGGCGUGAGGAUCGCUUUAAUCCGGGAAGUCAAAGUUGCAGUGAGCCAGGAUGGUGCCACUGCACUCCAGCCUGGGUGACAGAGUAAGACCUUGUCUAAAAAAAAAAAAAAACGUAUUUAUCAACUAUGGAAGUCCUCAAAACAUUUGCCUUCUUAGGAAGCAAGUAGAAGAUAUACUUUAACCAAAAUAAGGGGAUAAACCAAGAAUCAUAAGGACACUGAAUUCAGGAAACAGGGAUUAGAACACGGGAGACCUGCAAAAGGAUAUUCAGGAUGCAACUACACAAUCAGGCCUAGAACGCAGCUGACAGAGAUCGAUCGGGACACGGGGGCUCAGGAUGGAGGACUGUAGGUUAAAAAAAAAAUGGAACUCAUGUAUCUUCUGAGUUUUUGAAUCUUAUGUGCAUUCAGAAACCUACAAAGAGUCUGUACUGAGGUUGUCCCACAUGGCAGUUUCAGGCGCAAUUCUUCUGGAGAUGACAAAGGGCAGGAAGGUGCUUCAGAUUCAUGUUUCCAUGUGAUGUUUUUCUUCCAUCUGAAAAACUACUUUUUGUGAGAGGAAGACAUGAUGGCAGGUCUAGCUGUCAAGCUGCUUGGAUGGCCUUGGAGUCAGGAGAAGAGAAGAUUGGCCUCAGACACUUCCGUCUUCAGACCUGUGCCUCUCCUUUGAGGAUCCCUUCCCCGAAGCUGCCAAGGAGAACCUUCCCUCACAUUGUUCCUCCUUUGUUCCCCGCUCUCCUUUUCCAGGCUGAGAGACCUGGGGCCUUGGAAGCAAGCACACGCUGGCUGAGCUGUGAUUCCUCCAUGUUGAUUAUAAUUUUUAUCACAUUAUAUGGGAUCCCUCUGGUGGUUACUAGGGGAUACGUCAGUUUUGAGAGAUUGGAACCUAACCAAAGAAGCUUCAAAUCUAGAGGAUAAGGGGACUCAGAGUUUACAAGUCACAGCAAGCAGAUGCUGGUCUGCUUUAGGUGCCUCUUACGGGGAUUGUGAGAGGGCUCCUGGGGCCUGAGGAGGGUCUUCUGAGGUGUGAAAGGCUGUACUGGUGGUCCCUGAAAGCCAUCGUCAUUUGUGUGAGGAGGAGUACUGGAGGAGCUGUCUUACCACAUGAAAAACAGCAUGGAGCAUCCCAGCCACAUCAAAGGCACGGUUUGAGCCUUGGGCUGUAGAGGCUCAGAGAGAGUGACAAAUAAGACCCUGGUGAGAGACCAAUGGGGACAGUAUUUCCAGACUUUGGCAUGAAACAGAUUUCUGAGCACCUCAUGAAAUGUCUGCAAGGGCAGCUCCUCAGAGUGACCCUCCCAAAUCAAUCAAAGCUGGCCCCCUAUCUUAAUUAUGACUUACAAAUAGAAGCAUGCACCUGGCUGGAUGCAGUUUGCCACAUGGUUUACAAUAGCGGUAGAAUAAGAAAUAACUUACCAAACGAGUACAUUUUCUUGGCUGGCUGGGGCACUCAGAGUUGACACUGGUAAGGCUCCAUUAAAAUGCCUUUAUGUUCUGAUAUACACAGAUGUGUUAAUUUAUAGCAUAUUCAUCAGAAGACAUAAAUUAAUUGCUCUCUGAUGAAUUUUAUAACACCUCCUUUAUGCCUCUCCACCCUCCCCCUCCAAAGUACACUGAAAAGGUCAACAGCACUAUCGAAUGCAGCACACUUCAACUUCCUUCCAAGCUUAUAAUUAAAGCUAAUUAGUAGCUUUGGUAAUUAGCGCAUGUAAGCUUUCUGCUUUCUGAAUUAAUAAGACUGAGUCAGGUUUUGAGCCAAGUAGACUUUUCACUCACUGGUUCUGAUUCUUGAACUGUGUUUGGCUGGUUAAUUUAAAACAUGUCUGUUGAAAGUGGAAUACUAGAAAGAAAACAUACUUGUGAUGGUCUGCUCUCAAGCCAGUGUGAUUUAUGAACAGGCCAAAGUGGAACUGUUGUCACAAGAGAAAAUCAGAAUGCUCUGGGUUUCCAAUAACUGACCAGUCUCAACCUCUCAGUGUGAAAUGAGUUGUGCCCAGUUACUAUGUCACAUGGACACAACACAACGUCAAGGAUGCCCUUGCACACUUAUGUCACCCUCUCAUAACACAUCUGUACUAAGCACAUCAAAUCCUCUUUAUUUUAGGAGAAUGCAGAGGCAAUGGCAGUGGGGUGCCAAGAUAUAACUAACUGCUCAUUUUGAUUCAAAUAAAAAUCAAAGAGGAGAAAAAUCA